GCAAGUCGAACGAGAACGGAUUAAAGCUUGCUUUAAUUGUCAGCUAAGUGGCGCACGGGUGAGUAAUAUAUAGGUAACAUGCCUUCGAGAAGGGGAUAACGUUUGGAAACGAACGCUAAUACCCUAUAUGCCUUUAUCUCAAAAGAGAGCAAGGGAAAUAUUUAUAGCUCGAAGAUUGGCCUGUACAGUAUCAGUUAGUUGGUGAGGUAAUGGUUUACCAAGACAAUGACACCUAACUGGUUUGAGAGGAUGAUC
rnacentral:rRNA from 1 species